CCGAAGGUCGUGGUGCCAAAACCCCCCAGCGGAAAAAUGGCCAAAAAACGGGUGGGCUAUAGCCUUGGUGGGGGGCGCGGGCGAAGUUCGUCCGCCGGACUCGGAAUUGGGCGAGACUUUGCGAGGGGCCUCGGGGUGCCCGCGGGAAGUCGCGGGCACAGCCGUGCCCAAAAAUAAGCGCCCGAAGGUCGUGGUGCCAAUACACCCCAGCGGAAAAAUGGCCAUAAAAUGGGUGGGCUAUAGCCUUGGUGGGGGGCGCUGGCGAAGUUCGUCCGCCGGAAU
rnacentral:lncRNA from 1 species